GACAAACGCUGGCGGCGUGCAUAAAACAUGCAAGUCGGACGAGCCAAUCCCCGCAAGGGGAAAGGCUAGUGGCGAACGGCUGAGUAACACGUAGGUGAUCUGCCCUGAAGUGGGGGAUAACGACUCGAAAGAGUCGCUAAUACCGCAUGUGACCACCGAUCCGUUUUCGGUGCUCAAAGUCGUAAGACGCUUUAGGAGGAGCCUGCGGCGGAUUAGCUAGUUGGUGAGGUAAUGGCCCACCAAGGCUUCGAUCCGUAGCUGGUCUGAGAGGAUGGCCAGCCAGACUGGGACUGAGACACGGCCCAGACUCCUACGGGAGGCAGCAGUUAGGAAUUUUGCGCAAUGGGGGAAACCCUGACGCAGCCACGCCGCGUGCGGGAUGAAGGCCUCGGUCGUAA
rnacentral:rRNA from 1 species